rnacentral:rRNA from 1 species
UACGAAGGGAGCUAGCGUUGUUCGGAAUCACUGGGCGUAAAGCGCACGUAGGCGGAUGUGUCAGUCAGGGGUGAAAUCCCGGAGCUCAACUUCGGAACUGCCCUUGAUACAGCACGUCUUGAGUCCGGAAGAGGUGGGUGGAAUUCCUAGUGUAGAGGUGAAAUUCGUAGAUAUUAGGAAGAACACCGGUGGCGAAGGCGGCCCACUGGUCCGGUACUGACGCUGAGGUGCGAAAGCUAGGGGAGCAAACGGG